AUUUACCACUCUAUUAUGAAGUCAUCUUCUAGUGUAUGUUUUGCACUGCAGCCAUCACCCCUGGAUUCUGGAUGCAGAAGGAACAUUGUGGACAAGGGAUGGGGAGGAAGUAGAAAUAUGGUUCCAGUCUGGGGCUGAGUUUCAUCUUCCAAUCCAGGUUUUAUUGGUUUUUAAAACUUAAUUUUUGAAUAUUCAUUUGACUCCUGUGCUUGUUUCUCAAUUGCUUCAGAGGAAAAGGAUGGCUUUGUCAAACUUGUAUUUGUCCCUGGGGUAAAGGGCUUCAAUGCUGAGCAUCGAGCAUAAGGAGUUGGAGAAAGAGAUGUGGGUGAUUUACCUCUGCCAUGAUGGAGUCUUUCUCUGUUAUGCAGGAUGGAGUGCAGUGGCAUAAUCUCAGCUCACUUGCAACCUCUGCGAUUCUCGUGGCUCAACCUCCCAGUUCUAGAAGCUGAGAAGUCCAACAUCAAGGCACAGGCAGGUGGCAGGUUUGAUUGUCUGGUGAAGGCUGCCCUCUGCUUCCAAGAUGGACCCUUGUUGUUGCAUUUUCUGGAAAAAAGGAACACUGUGUUCUCAGAUGGCUGAAAGCAGAAGGAACCUCAGGCCAAGUGUUCUUGACAGCUCAUCCACAGACUCCCACUGGUAAAGCAGCAUGAGGAUGGCUUCUGUUAUUUUAUUUCAGAAUUUUUUCCUGCAGUGGCAUGCCAGUACCAGCUGAGGAUCAUGUAUGCAAUAUUUGCCUUCUUUCAUCUUCUACCUAGGAUGGCUUUAAUUCUCUUCGAGGAGAAUUUAUUUUAGUUUUUCCCAGUAAGAGAAUCCACUUCUCUUGCCCAUAUUCAUAAAUUAUCAUUAAAAAUUAAACUUGGUACAAUAAAUAUUAACAUGGUUCCAGCUUCUCCAUUGUUAUGCUCAGAAUUCAGUUCAUUGGCAGGAUCUAGGCAUAGGAUCAGUCCAAAGUUGGGCCAAGGCACAAGGAAGGUUUGCACAAGUUUAGAGCAUCAUUGAGAAUCCAUAUGGCAUCAAAUUCUGACCAUCAGAACCAAUCAUUUUAGUCAAAUUGCUGAGACACAAAUUAAGUCCAGGAAUCGGUAG
rnacentral:lncRNA from 10 species